UACAGAGGUCUCAAGCGUUGUUCGGAUUCAUUGGGCGUAAAGGGUGCGUAGGUGGCGCGCUAAGUCAGGUGUGAAAUUUCGGAGCUUAACUCCGAAACUGCAUUUGAUACUGGCGUGCUUUGAGGACUGGAGAGGAGACUGGAAUUCAUGGUGUAGCAGUGAAAUGCGUAGAGAUCAUGAGGAAGACCAGUGGCGAAGGCGGGGUCUCUGGGCAUCUCCUGACGCUGAGGCACGAAGGUCAGGGGGAGCAAAACGGGG
rnacentral:rRNA from 1 species